GGAUUAGUGGCGAACGGGUGAGUAACACGUGGGCAAUCUGCCCUGCACUCUGGGACAAGCCCUGGAAACGGGGUCUAAUACCGGAUGUUCACUUUCGGGCGCAUGCCUGGGGGUGGAAAGCUCUGGCGGUGCAGGAUGGGCCCGCGGCCUAUCAGCUUGUUGGUGGGGUGAUGGCCUACCAAGGCGACGACGGGUAGCCGGCCUGAGAGGGCGACCGGCCACACUGGGACUGAGACACGGCCCAGACUCCUACGGGAGGCAGCAGUGGGGAAUAUUGCACAAUGGGCGCAAGCCUGAUGCAGCGACGCCGCGUGAGGGAUGACGGCCUUCGGGUUGUAAACCUCUUUCAGCAGGGAAGAAGCGAGAGUGACGGUACCUGCAGAAGAAGCGCCGGCUAACUACGUGCCAGCAGCCGCGGUAAUACGUAGGGCGCAAGCGUUGUCCGGAAUUAUUGGGCGUAAAGAGCUCGUAGGCGGCUUGUCGCGUCGGAUGUGAAAGCCCGGGGCUUAACCCCGGGUCUGCAUUCGAUACGGGCAGGCUGGAGUUCGGUAGGGGAGAUCGGAAUUCCUGGUGUAGCGGUGGAAUGCGCAGAUAUCAGGAGGAACACCGGUGGCGAAGGCGGAUCUCUGGGCCGAUACUGACGCUGAGGAGCGAAAGCGUGGGGAGCGAACAGGAUUAGAUACCCUGGUAGUCCACGCCGU
rnacentral:rRNA from 1 species